GGUUGUGGCCCAGAGGCAGAUCACUCGCCUACCAUGCGUGAGGUACUGGGUUCAAUCCUCAGCACCA
rnacentral:tRNA from 1 species